rnacentral:rRNA from 1 species
AUGAAGACCUUCCUCGUCUUUGCCCUCAUCGCCGUUGUGGCGACAAGUGCCAUUGCACAGAUGGAGACUAGCUGCAUCUCUGGUUUGGAGAGACCAUGGCAGCAGCAACCAUUACCACCACAACAGUCAUUUUCACAACAACCACCAUUUUCACAACAACAACAACAACCAUUACCUCAACAACCAUCAUUUUCGCAGCAACAACCACCAUUUUCGCAGCAACAACCAAUUCUAUCGCAGCAACCACCAUUUUCACAGCAACAACAACCAGUUCUACCGCAACAAUCACCAUUUUCGCAGCAACAACAACUAGUUUUACCUCCACAACAACAACAACAACAACUUGUGCAACAGCAAAUCCCUAUUGUUCAGCCAUCCGUUUUGCAGCAGCUAAACCCAUGCAAAGUAUUCCUCCAGCAGCAGUGCAGCCCUGUAGCAAUGCCACAACGUCUUGCUAGGUCACAGAUGUGGCAGCAGAGCAGUUGCCAUGUGAUGCAACAACAAUGUUGCCAGCAAUUGCAGCAAAUCCCCGAACAAUCCCGCUAUGAAGCAAUCCGUGCCAUCAUCUACUCCAUCAUCCUGCAAGAACAACAACAGGGCUUUGUCCAACCUCAGCAGCAACAACCCCAACAGUCAGGUCAAGGUGUCUCCCAAUCCCAACAGCAGUCGCAGCAGCAGCUCGGACAAUGUUCUUUCCAACAACCUCAACAGCAACUGGGUCAACAGCCUCAACAACAACAACAACAGGUACUACAGGGUACCUUUUUGCAGCCACACCAGAUAGCUCACCUUGAGGCGGUGACUUCCAUUGCACUCCGUACCUUGCCAACGAUGUGCAGUGUCAAUGUGCCGUUGUACAGCGCCACCACCAGUGUGCCAUUCGGCGUUGGCACCGGAGUUGGUGCCUACUGAUAA